ACCUCUUUGUCAAAGUUGAGUGUGUGUAGCAGCUGUAUUCCCAGCAGCAGGCUGUUCUGGUGGGCUUUUUUAGAAACGUGCAGAUGCUUCUCAAGGUCGGCGCGUGCGAGUGUACUUAGGAGACGGCCGUCCACAAGAUGUGUUUCCUACCCAUGUCCUGAUUCCGCAUCCCUGUAGUCUUCAAUGGCCAGACGGAGUUUCCUGCGGUGCAUUGAAUUACUGAUACCUAAAACAAACUCCAGGUCCUCAUCUGCCCGUAUGUACAUCGGCAUGGCCAUGAUCACCUCCAGCCACGCCUGCACGGUUCCUGCACGCCAACGGGACAUGGGUGCCGUCCGCGCGAGCUCCACCUGCUGAAGCCGAUCCAGAUGCUCCUCGCAUUCUGAUAGGCUCACACUGAGGCGGGCGGGGCUUGAUAAACUGUCGGAGUCUAGAUUGGUGGAUGACGGAAGAGGGGCGGGACUUAAUGCGAGUUUGUUUUCUAUAAUUUACGAGCAUAACCACCGUGUUUUCUCAAGUGAAGACAGAGCUUCAUUAUCAGGAUUGUGGAGUUUGCACAUCACCAGGAGCUAAUGAGCCACUGCAGAGAAAAACAAUGUACACAGAAUUCAUCCUGCGCCAAAAUGACUAUGAGAGCCCCGUAAAGACUUAAAAAGUUCCAUGCUAUUCAGCACCAGCCUGAGCCAAACGCAGCAGGGAAAAUGAGAGCUGUCUCUCCAUCUCCAGCUGAUGAAGAACACACUACAUGCUCUGAAAACUCAUUUAUUCUUCAUUUCAUGUCAGUGCAAUAUUGAAAUGUACACAAUGGUAAGAAUCUGUCACUGAAUGAUAGCUAGCAUUGAUUUCAGAAAAAUAAAAAUAAUAGACUAUAAAUACAAAGUUUAAUGGUGAAAGGCCCUGUAGAGUAAAGGUAUCCAGUCCCCACUUGCAAAGCAACAUGGGAAACUACUGUGGAGCUCUGUCUCAUACCCUGCUUUAUUAAAGGUACAGUAAUCAUAUCCAUGACAACUAUCCUAAUUUUUUUUUUUUUUUUAAUAUAUAUAACCAGUCAUCUGGGUUUUGUAUUUCCACACUGUUCUCAGACCAGUUUUUGCCUCCUGGUUAAUGAUGUUGUGAAGGCAGUUGUCAGAGUUAGUGUGUGUAACGGUGGUUAUAAACUCUCCUGUGGGAAAGGCAGGACGAGCCACUGCUCACUAAAAGUCACAGACUACAUCAAAUGUCCAAAUACCAGAAUAUGCUGCAGAUAGAUGAAUAGAUAUCUUUUGGAUCACAGUGUGAAAAAGCAAAUGUCCUUUUAUGGGUUUUCAUACACGCUGACGGUCCUGCUGGCUUCCGACAGGAGAGCUCCAUCAAUAUGUUUAACACACAGGUUUAAAAACAGCUGAGACAAUGAGCGUUAAAUGAUAUAAAAGGCAUCUGGAAACACAAGCACAGAGUGCACAAUGACUAUUAUUUACACAUUCAGCAGUCCUUCAAGUUUCCAGUGAGAUGCUAAAGUGGGUAUAAAAUAAACACACACACACACACACACACACACACACACACAAACAAACUCUGGGCAGGUUUGGGUCUACUGCGGCACAGUUUGGAAUCAUUGUACAGUCAGCUUGUGCUCAUAAAGAUGGCAGCGAUAGAGACACACACACACACAGAGAGAGAGAAACUAGUAGGG